rnacentral:rRNA from 1 species
GUGGGGAAUCUUCCGCAAUGGACGAAAGUCUGACGGAGCAACGCCGCGUGAGUGAAGAAGGUUUUCGGAUCGUAAAGCUCUUUCGUUAGGGACGAACGUGCUCUUUGUGAAUAAUGAGGAGUAAUGACGGUACCUAAAUAAGAAGCCACGGCUAACUACGUGCCAGCAGCCGCGGUAAUACGUAGGUGGCAAGCGUUGUCCGGAAUUAUUGGGCGUAAAGCGCGGGCAGGCGGGCUAUCAAGUCUGUCUUAAAAGUGCGAGGCUCAACCUCGUGAGGUGACAGAAACUGGUAUUCUUGAGUGUCGGAGAGGAAAGUGGAAUUCCAAGUGUAGCGGUGAAAUUCGUAGAGAUUUGGAAGAACACCAGUGGCGAAGGCGACUUUCUGGACGAUGUCUGACGCUGAGGCGCGAAAGCUAGGGGAGCGAACGGGAUUAGAAACCCGAGUAGUCC